rnacentral:lncRNA from 1 species
CUAUUCAAAUCCUCAUCCAUACUUGAAAACGAUCCUGGCCUCAAAUUUCCAAAGCCCCCUCUCCUUCCCUUUUUGCCCUAGUUUCUUGAAACUAACACUCGCCUUUCUCUUUCCCUUCAUGCACAAAGAUGGAACCUGACGACUAAGAACCUGCGAUUAAGAACAAACGCUCUGAAGCAAUAGGAAACAAUUGGAGUGAAGAAUUUCAUGCUUUGCAAAAACCCAAUAGUUUAGGAAUUUUAUCCCUUUUGCAAGAAAAAAGCUCUUCUUUUUGAUUUUGUGAUUCUUGACACGGGUUUGGUUCGAAGUUGCUUGUUUUGUUGGAGAUCUAGGGUUUAGACUUAUGUUCAUCGAGUUUCUUUUAAUUUAGUUAAAUUAUGUAUUAUCCUUGUUCAAUUUCUUUUAAAUUAAUUAAGUAUAUUGCAUUUAUUUUGAUUUUCAAGUGGAUUUUAGAUCUGUUUUUUUAUUCCCUUCAAUUAAAGAUUUGGAGCUUAGCCGUUUUGAUUCAACAGUAAAGAAAAGAAAGAUUUUUUAUGAUUGGACAUGUGUAAUGGUUGUUAUAUGGAACAAUGGGGUUCUGGUGUCGCUGCAGUUGCAUUUAACCCUACUUAUUGAAGUUUCACUAAAACAAUGUGAUCGCGGUUCCAGAUGCUAAUUUUCAUUCUCUCCCUUCCACUCGGCAAAAACAACAAUAUAUCCUUAGAUUAGAUAACAUGACUACUAGAAGGUACAAAUAUCAGGAGGCGAGAACAUGUGUAAGAUUAUCAUGUGAUAUGCUGGGAAAAGGAAUAAGUCAACCCCGGUAAAUAUUGGACAUAUUACAUGUCGGACGGUAAACAGGGUGAUAUAGGUAUGUAUGUGCUUAUUAAAUAGCCUCUUGUUGGCCCCUUUUGCUUAAUAUAUAAAAGUUUGUUCAAAAAAUAUGUUUACUAAAUUUUAUGUCAUUUGCUGGGUGAUGUUUAAUUUGAAGUGAAAAUAAACUCUCAUUAUUUGGUUUCUUGGCAAAUUAUGAAAAGCCAAAUUCUUGGUGAUGGAAAAAAUGGCAUAAAAAUUGUUAGUGGUAAAAUAGUAGAGCAAAAGUCCGCAUGCACCUGGAAAAUAUUUUUAAAAAAAUUAGUAAUAAAAUAGUAUAGCAAAAGACUACAUGCACCUGGAUCAAAUAUCCAUAUUAUGAACCUAACGAUUAGACUCUUUGAAGUCGUCUGCAUAAUACCAAAUGAUGGACUUACCAGUCUUUUUUUAGACUUUGCUUUUUUACCCUUGCACUAUUACUCUAUUUUUACACCCGCCCAACUUUAAAAAAAUUGCAAUUGUAAUCCCUAGACUACAACUCCUACUUUUGCAAAUGCCAAUACAUUGUGUUUUACGAAAUGUCUUAGACAUUGUGUUGUACUCUUUGUGUCUACCUUUGUGAUUUACACUUUUCUUUUUGUAAUUGUCUUUUACACACUGCGUUUUACGAAUCAUGUUUUGUCUUACUAUAUGUUUCCACCCGUCGCGCGCCGCCGCAACGCGCGACAGGCAAAAUCCUAGUUUGUUGAAAACUAAAAUCUAAGUCGGAGAUGAAGUUUUCCUCAAAAGCAUUCUAAACUCUACCGAGACUGUAGCAAGACUGUAAGAGGAAGGGUCUAGAGCUUGGACCCAAAUGAUCUAGUUGGUGGUACAGAGAUUGAACCAGAAUGGUGUGAGGUAAACGUUCAAGUACCGAUAAAAAAAGAUGAAAACUUGGUAAGACCAUAUGGUUUAUUUUCUACAAUUCAAGAUUGUAUUGGUGCAUCCAUCGCAUGGCCGUAUCCAUUCAUCUCGGUAGUCCAUGAGGAUUGAGGACGCAUGAUGACUCAAGAUUUUAUGCUUCUUUUUUCUUUAAUUGCUUAAUUUCUUUGUUAAAUGUUAAGACUCUAUGUCAGAUAAUGUUAUAACUUAUUUAUGGUUGGUGUUUUUGUUAUGAACAUGCUUAUUUGAAAUAUAAUGAAGUUUUAUUUCUUUC